AGUCAGAUUUCUUUUCAGAAAAAGUACUAUCAUUGUAAAUUCAAGCAAGAAUUGUAAAACCAAUAAAUUCCUCUCUCUAUUCAGAAUCUAAAACUGACAAAUUUACGGUGUGAAUUUAUCACUUUGAAUUUUUACAUAUUAACUUUUCUACUAUAGAUAUAAUUGUACCAAUAAAAAAAUAAAGAGAUUUUUUUUGUUGAAGUUUUAAUCUAGUCGGUGAACAUGAAAGUCGUUUUUUCAUUUUCUUUGUAGCUUUUUUAAUAAUUGAG